UACCUGGUUGAUCCUGCCAGUAAUCAUAUGCUUGUCUCAAAGAUUAAGCCAUGCAUGUCUAAGUACAUGCCGAAAUAAGGCCGAAACCGCGAAUGGCUCAUUAAAUCAGUUAUGGUUCCUUAGAUCGUUUCUUCCUACUUGGAUAACUGUGGCAAUUCUAGAGCUAAUACAUGCAGUGAGCCUGAAGCCCUUUGGGCGACGGGUGCUUUUAUUAGACCAAGAUCGAUCGGGUUUCGGCCCGUAUUGUGUGGUGACUCUGGAUAACUUUGUGCUGAUCGCAUGGCCACGAGCCGGCGACGUUUCUUUCAAGUGUCUGCCUUAUCAACUUUCGAUGGUAGGUUACUUGCUUACCAUGGUUGUUACGGGUAACGGAGAAUCAGGGUUCGAUUCCGGAGAGGGAGCCUGAGAAACGGCUACCACAUCCAAGGAAGGCAGCAGGCGCGCAAAUUACCCACUCCCGGCACGGGGAGGUAGUGACGAAAAAUAACAAUACGGGACUCUUUUGAGGCCCCGUAAUUGAAAUGAGUACACUCUAAAUCCUUUAACGAGGAUCAAUUGGAGGGCAAGUCUGGUGCCAGCAGCCGCGGUAAUUCCAGCUCCAAUAGCGUAUACUAAAGCUGCUGCGGUUAAAAAGCUCGUAGUUGGAUCUCAGUUCCAGACGAGUAGUGCAUCUACCCGAUGCGACGGCUCGGACUGAACAUCAUGCCGGUCCUUUCUUGGUGCACUUCAUUGUGUGCCUCGAGAAGGCCGGUGCUUUUACUUUGAAAAAAUUAGAGUGCUCAACGCAGGCGAGUCGCCUGAAUAAACUUGCAUGGAAUAAUAGAACAAGACCUCGUUUCUGUUCUGUUGGUUUUUUGGAAUACGAGGUAAUGAUUAAGAGGGACAGACGGGGGCAUUCGUAUUGCGGCGCUAGAGGUGAAAUUCUUGGACCGUCGCAAGACGAACUACUGCGAAAGCAUUUGCCAAGAAUGUUUUCUUUGAUCAAGAACGAAAGUCAGAGGUUCGAAGGCGAUCAGAUACCGCCCUAGUUCUGACCAUAAACGAUGCCAACCAGCGAUCCGCCUGAGUUACUCAAAUGACUCGGCGGGCAGCUUCCGGGAAACCAAAGUGUUUGGGUUCCGGGGGAAGUAUGGUUGCAAAGCUGAAACUUAAAGGAAUUGACGGAAGGGCACCACCAGGAGUGGAGCCUGCGGCUUAAUUUGACUCAACACGGGAAAACUUACCCGGCCCGGACACUGGGAGGAUUGACAGAUUGAGAGCUCUUUCUUGAUUCGGUGGAUGGUGGUGCAUGGCCGUUCUUAGUUGGUGGAGCGAUUUGUCUGGUUAAUUCCGAUAACGAACGAGACUCUAGCCUAUUAAAUAGGUGCGGGGUUCCCAGCACCUUACAACCUUCUUAGAGGGACAAGCGGCUCCUAGCCGCACGAAACAGAGCAAUAACAGGUCUGUGAUGCCCUUAGAUGUCCGGGGCCGCACGCGCGCUACACUGAAGGAAGCAGCGUGUCUUUAUCCCUGUCUGAAAAGACUGGGUAACCCGUGGAACUUCUUUCGUGAUUGGGAUAGGGGCUUGCAAUUGUUCCCCUUGAACGAGGAAUUCCCAGUAAGCGCGAGUCAUAAGCUCGCGUUGAUUACGUCCCUGCCCUUUGUACACACCGCCCGUCGCUACUACCGAUUGAAUGAUUUAGUGAGGUCUUCGGACCGAUGUCCGGCGCGGCCUUUCGGUUGCGCCGGUCUGUUGGAAAGAUGACCAAACUUGAUCAUUUAGAGGAAGUAAAAGUCGUAACAAGGUUUCCGUAGGUGAACCUGCGGAAGGAUCAUUA
rnacentral:rRNA from 1 species